AUUGAACGCUGGCGGCAUGCUUUACACAUGCAAGUCGAACGGCAGCGCGGGCUUCGGCCUGGCGGCGAGUGGCGAACGGGUGAGUAAUACAUCGGAACGUGCCCAGUAGUGGGGGAUAGCGCGGCGAAAGCCGGAUUAAUACCGCAUACGACCUGAGGGUGAAAGCGGGGGAUCUUCGGACCUCGCGCUAUUGGAGCGGCCGAUGGCAGAUUAGCUAGUUGGUGGGGUAAAGGCCUACCAAGGCGACGAUCUGUAGCUGGUCUGAGAGGACGACCAGCCACACUGGGACUGAGACACGGCCCAGACUCCUACGGGAGGCAGCAGUGGGGAAUUUUGGACAAUGGGCGAAAGCCUGAUCCAGCAAUGCCGCGUGUGUGAUGAAGGCCUUCGGGUUGUAAAGCACUUUUGGCGGGAACGAAAAGGACUGUGCCAAUACCACGGUUCGAUGACGGUACCCGCAGAAUAAGCACCGGCUAACUACGUG
rnacentral:rRNA from 1 species